rnacentral:pre_miRNA from 1 species
UCCUUAACUCAUACCGCUGUGCCUGCCUUCUUUCUUUCACAAUUGUGUGAGUUGAGUUCA